GCUUGCUCACACCUGCUUUUACUCUGUGAGUUGUACUUUUGCUUCUUCAAUAAAUCUGUGCCUUUGUUACUCCGUUCUUUUGUUGUUUUGCUUGUGCGUUUUGUUUAAUUCUUUGUUUGAAACCCCAAGAACCUGGACAACUCACAGUCAAGACCUUCCGUCCGGUAACAAAGCAACAGACCUCAGUCAUGUCAUCUGCUUACAAAGGAGCCACGGGUAUCGCUCUGCCUCCCAGGCUGGAGUGCAGUGGCACAAUCACAGCUCACUGCAGCCUCGACCUUCUCGGCUCAAGCAAUCCUCCUACCUCAGCCUCCUGAGUAGCUGGGAUUGCAGGCAUUCAUCACCACACCCAGCACCAGGCCCAGAGGCCUACCUGCAGAACCAGGAGCCUUCCCAGAGAUGCCUGUUGAUGGAUGGCUACACUGAGAACCUGAAAUAGCGUGCAAAUAACUCUCUUCUCUGUACUUGAAGCCAAAUCGCAUUCCCAGGCAGACAUAUCCAGCGGGGAAAGAAGAAACAAGAAAAUGAAUGAUCCACUUGCACAAGAAUCUCUCCUAUGAGCAAGUGUUAGGUGAGGGUGGGGAUAAGAUGCCUGUCUCGGGAGACAAGGCUGUACAAAUUCAUAAUUUGAAUUUUUAUGGUUAAUUUUAUGGUUAAUUUUAUGGAAUUUUAUGGUUAAUCUUGGAUAGUGGGAUUUGGGAUAAAUUUGCUUUUAUAAUAUGUAAUUGUAUUUUCUGAAUUUUCUACAGUGAACUCGUAUUGCUUUUAUGAACAGGAAAAAGAACAACAAAUGCCAUAAAAAUCAUGUAGUAUAUUAAUCUUGUCUUCCUAACAAGACUAUAUAAGUUCCCUGACA